rnacentral:lncRNA from 1 species
CUGAGCUCAGGAAUGAGAGAAGCAGGUCUGCAAGAGCCCAUGGCAUUUCUGUAGGACAGCGUCUUAAAAGUUACCACUGCUGAUAUAGAAAAUGACUUUGUCUAAGAGCAUCUUGUAAAAUUAAGGCUUUUAGACUCUCAUACAAGCACUUACCAAUUAUGUUAAUUGGCAGAUUUAAGGCUGCUGCUGUCACAAUGGCUGAACAGACCGUUGCAGCCCCUCCCAUAUCUGCUCUCAUCGCAUCCAUACCUGACGAUGGCUUCAGUGAAAUGCCACCACUGUCAAACGUAACUCCUUUUCCUACAAAUACCAAGGGAGAGUCGUUUGCAUUAGCACCUCCUAAAUAGUGGAUCUCCAGAAAGAUAGGAGGUUCAGCCGAACCCUUGGCUACACUCAGGAAUGCUCCCAUCUGCUGUGCUGCUAUCCAAGACUCUGGUCUUAUGUGGACCUUUACAUUGCUACCAAAAUUCCCAAGCUUCUGUUCAAUAUAUUCAGCAAAUUUGAUUGGAGUUAUAUAAUUAGCUGGAGCCUCCAUAAGGUACCGAGCGAGGUUCUGACCCUCUGCAUAGAUAACACCUUUCUGCCAGGCUUCACUUCCAGCACUUCCAUGAAGCUGAGGAGUAACUACAGGUUUCUUUUUUUGCUUCAGCUCAUUGUAUUCAUGCAGUCCAAGGACAGCACCUUCUGCUGCUGCUUGAGCGUCUCCACAGGGGUCCACUUCAACACAGGGGAUUUCCAGGUCUUGGAUCUGUCUACAGCCAACUGCAACAGCUGCACGGAUAUUUUCUUUGCCUUCAUUCCAGUUUUCUUGGUCGUUGACUCCAGCAUUCUUCUUACCCAAGCCAACUACAACCACGCUUGGAAAGUCCUGAUGCAAACCAUGGAAUACGCGUGCUUUGCCUUUCUUCAGAGGGGGUCCGCAUGCGGCCAGCAGCUCGCGCAGCCUCCCGGACACGCGGCUGUCGAACGCGUCCCCCGCCGCGCUGAGCUGGGCGGCGCCGCCCUCCUGCUCGCUCGCGUAGGCUCCCAGCAGCAGGCCCUUCCCGCCCGCCCCACGGCUGUAGCCCCGCGGUAGGGGACCCCGCUGCGAGCAGCUGCACGGCAGGAGCAGCACCCGGGCCAGGCGGCGCGCCUCAGCCCGCCGCACCCACGGCAGCAGCAUGGCACGCAGCCCCGCGCGGCGGGCCGACACCUGACCCCGGCGCGCAGUGCGCCUCAUCCGCCCGCGCCGAGCGGGGCGGGGCCGGG